GGAUGAACGCUAGCGGGAGGCCUAACACAUGCAAGCUGAGCGGUAGAGAUCUUUCGGGAUCUUGAGAGCUGCGUACGGGUGCGGAACACGUGUGCAACCUGCCUUUAUCAUKGGGAUAGCCUUUCGAAAGGAAGAUUAAWACCCCAUAAUAUAUAGAGUGGCAUCACUUUAUAUUGAAAACUGAGGUGGAUAAAGAUGGGCACGCGCAAGAUUAGAUAGUUGGUGAGGUAACGGCUCACCAAGUCGAUGAUCUUUAGGGGCCUGAGAGGGUGAUCCCCCACACUGGUACUGAGACACGGACCAGACUCUACGGGAGGCAGCAGUGAGGAAUAUUGGACAAUGGGUUAGCGCCUGAUCCAGCCAUCCCGCGUGAAGGACGACGGCCCUAUGGGUUGUAAACUUCUUUUGUACAGGGAUAAACCUUUCCACGUGUGGGAAGCUGAAGGUACUGUACGAAUAAGCACCGGCUAACUCCGUGCCAGCAGCCGCGGUAAUACGGAGGGUGCAAGCGUUAUCCGGAUUUAUUGGGUUUAAAGGGUCCGUAGGCGGAUGCGUAAGUCAGUGGUGAAAUCUCACAGCUCAACUGUGAAACUGCCAUUGAUACUGCGUUUYUUGAGUGAGGUUGAAGUAGCUGGAAWAAGUAGUGUAGCGGUGAAAUGCAUAGAUAUUACUUAGAAAACCAAUUGCGAAGGCAGGUUACUAAGUCUCAACUGACGCUGAUCGACGAAAGCGUGGGGAGCG
rnacentral:rRNA from 1 species